rnacentral:ribozyme from 1 species
GGAAUGAGAGGGAGAGGCAAAGAGGUCAAAAGAGGGAGAAGCAAGGAAAGGUGCUAUCCCAUGAUGUGUCAUUAUCACUAUGAUUAUUUUUAUUGUAUUAAUUUUCUUAUUCUUCUUAUUA